rnacentral:SRP_RNA from 1 species
GCCAGGCAUGGUGAUGGCGCGUGCCUGUAGUCCCAGCUACUCAGGAGGCUGAGGUGGGUGGAUCGAUUGAGCCCAGGAGUUCUGGGCUGUAGUGCACUAUGCCAAUGGGUGGGUGUCUGCACUAAGUUCUGCAUCAAUAUGGUGACCUCCCGAAAGCAGGGGACCACCAGGUUGCUUAAGGAGGGGUGAACCAGCCCAGGAAGGAAACUGAGCAGGUCAAAACUCCCAAGCUGAUCAGUAAUGGGAUCACGCCUGUGAAUAGCCACUGCACUCCAGACUGGGCAACAUAGCAAGACCCUGUCUAA